rnacentral:rRNA from 1 species
AUUGAACGCUGGCGGCAGGCCUAACACAUGCAAGUCGAACGGUAGCACAGAGGAGCUUGCUCCUUGGGUGACGAGUGGCGGACGGGUGAGUAAUGUCUGGGAAACUGCCCGAUGGAGGGGGAUAACUACUGGAAACGGUAGCUAAUACCGCAUAACGUCGCAAGACCAAAGAGGGGGACCUUCGGGCCUCUUGCCAUCGGAUGUGCCCAGAUGGGAUUAGCUAGUAGGUGGGGUAACGGCUCACCUAGGCGACGAUCCCUAGCUGGUCUGAGAGGAUGACCAGCCGCACUGGAACUGAGACACGGUCCAGACUCCUACGGGAGGCAGCAGUGGGGAAUAUUGCACAAUGGGCGCAAGCCUGAUGCAGCCAUGCCGCGUGUAUGAAGAAGGCCUUCGGGUUGUAAAGUACUUUCAGCGAGGAGGAAGGCGUUGUGGUUAAUAACCGCAACGAUUGACGUUACUCGCAGAAGAAGCACCGGCUAACUCCGUGCCAGCCGCCGCGGUAAAAGGG